rnacentral:rRNA from 1 species
GUGCCAGCAGCCGCGGUAAUACGGAGGGUCCAAGCGUUAUCCGGAAUCAUUGGGUUUAAAGGGUCCGCAGGCGGGCUGAUAAGUCAGUGGUGAAAUCUCUCAGCUUAACUGGGAAACUGCCAUUGAUACUGUUAGUCUUGAAUUCGGUCGAAGUAGGCGGAAUGUGUCAUGUAGCGGUGAAAUGCAUAGAUAUGACACAGAACACCGAUAGCGAAGGCAGCUUACUAGGCCUGAAUUGACGCUCAUGGACGAAAGCGUGGGGAGCAAACAGGAUUAGAUACCCUGGUAGUCCACGCCGUAAACGAUGAUUACUCGAUAUCAGCGAUAUACUGUUGGUGUCUAAGCGAAAGUGAUAAGCAAUCCACCUGGGGAGUACGAUCGCAAGGUUGAA